AGUAACACUCCCGGGGACCGGCCGUUCGAGAGUAAAGGGAACCAGGUGUGGCUGUCGUUUCAGACGGGACGGUGGACGAACAAAGGCUUCUGGCUAAAGUACCAAACUGUCGGCAGACCCAUGGCGGCGGACCCCAGGAACUCAGUCCUGUCUCAGUCAGGUAACGCCGCGGGGACGGGAAACGAAUUUACAGGCGAGGCUCCGUCCGACGCGGGGAAGAGGACAUCGAGCACAGGAGAUCAACCGAAAUCAAGGGCUUCCAGACUAAAGUCGCCAUUCUUAGCUCUGCCACUCCUACUGUUGUUUCCACUUUGUUUCCGAUACGUGUAUCUGUGACAUUCAAACGUAUGCAAUACAAUUGAAUUGUAUAUUAUUGAGUGUGUAUGUAUGUAUGUAACGUUACGCCCUGGGUUAUGUACAUGAGAAACCAUGAUCAUCUACCUCUUUUAAAGAAUCAUUCAAUACCAAAAUGUUGGUAAGUUGGCGCCCGAUCGUUUGGACGUUGAUGAGUCGGUCGCUUUGGCAGUGAAGGUAAAAAUCGUUGAAAUCUUUCCAUUAGGCCACAGCAAGUAAUUUUUAUGGAUGACAUCAGCACGCGCAUUAAUU